GUGGCCAGGGGCGGGCUCCGCGUGGCUCCUCAGGAAAGGCCCAGAUGGGAGGAGCCUAGGAGAGGAGGAGACGGGACGGGGAGGAGCCUUAAAGAGUAAUACGAUAUGUACUGUACUGUGCAUAUUUGCGGUGAUCAAAAGCACACCUGCUGCGGCUGAACUUGCACCAGGUGGUCUUAAAAUGGAGAACACUUUGGAAUAACAGACUGCCCUGUAAAAAGUCCUGGGAUAUGGUCUUGAAGGUACACGAGACCAGCAUCUUGCUGAAGUUAAGCAGGUCUGGGUCUGAUCAAAAUCUGAAUAGAAGACUAUCUGGGAACUACACAUACAUCACCUUGAGUUCCAUGAUUGAAGAAAAAGGGUUGUCUCAUGACCCAGAAAGGCUGUCGGGCCAACAGCAGCAGAGGGGCAGAUAAUGUCAGCGUCUAAGUGAGCAUCUCACAUAACCAAAGAGGUCACUCUGGUGACCUCCUCUUCCCCCCCUUUUCUACAGAGAGGAAACAGUCAAGAGAAAAAGCCAAUAUCUUCUGUUACGAGGGUCCAACAAAACAUACCUGUCUUUUUGGAUGGUCACAUUCUCAGUUUGGAUGAUGGGGAAACAGGGAGGGGUGUUCAGGCAGAAAGGAGACCCCACAAAGGGCCAACUGACCACUGCUAUUGAGUGACCAGAUGGGUGUCCGGAGUUCCUUGUGUGGUUCCCAUGAUGGCGUGGACCGUCAAGGAGGAAUAAAGCUCCCUUUCAGCAAUCGCUGGUGAAGGCUUUGGGAAACUCCCGGGGAGAGAUGCAAGGCAGAUCCUUGUGAAAUGCAGAGACAAAGCCACCUUGUUUCAAGAAGUUUACAAAGGGAGCCCAUCUCCUCCUGGGAAGUUUUCAUCCAAAGGCUCUCGACCUCAGCACAAAGGGAGUCUUCUCGGCCAAGCUGGGUGUAUGUAUUUAAUAAACCUACUAGCAGUAGGCAAGGGGCCACAGAUGGUUCUUGGAGAUGCUGUAUGUGUUUUUGUCUCUGUUGUUCUGAACAUUUUGUAUUUAAGAACAGAAGAAGAGCUUGGCAGCUGGAUCACGCUGUAGGCCCAUCUAGUCCAUCACCCUGUACAGACGGUGGCCAACCAGAUGCCCCAGUGGGAAUCUCACAAGCAAGACCUGGUUCCAACAGUGCUGUCCCCACUAGCAAUUCCUGCAGCAGUAUUACAAGCCCAGAAAUGGAAGCAAGAUGAAGUGCCAUCGAAAGAAGAGCGGCAAGCGAAACUGAUGGACUAUGGGGAGCUGGCGAAACUGACGGGAAAGAUCCGAAACCAGGAAGAUCAAGCAUUUGAAAAGGACCGGAAGAAAUUUGUACUUUAUUUAAAAGAUCACUGUAAAAAUUUAAAGACACUGGCAGGAAUGUGAAGAUACUUGUAAUGUGAAAUUCUGCUAUAUUUCACUUAUGAUUUAUAUAAUGAUUUGGAAAAUGUAAAAGAUGCAGUUAAUUAUGGGAUAAAGAAAGACCCCAUGGAGGGGUGGAGGGAAGUUCAAGGGUUCAAAAGAACCUAUUAAGUAGAGGUGAAAAAUGAAUAUUGUGAGGAUAUUAAAAAUGUGGAAAAUCAAUUAAAAAUUAUUAUAACAAAAUAAGAGAGUUAACUUCACUGACACU